GCAGAAUAUCCUCACCGUGUUAUGUGACGACGCUCGCAGUCGGUAUUAGCCAUGAAAUGUGCGAUGUGCCGAUUUUACUUCAUAACGCGCAUGUCAUGCAUGAAUAAAGCAGCUCCAACAAACUGCACCGUUGGCAGCAGCACUCACGCAAAGAACUCUGCCCAAUGCCACGACGAACCACGCAAAAGUGCAUUGCGACCCAAACAUGCACAUGCAGCGGAAAUGGCGGACCCCUUCAUGCUUCUUCUUGUGCCUCCUUCACAUGUUGGCCGUUUUAUUCAAUGUGCAAGCCUCACAUGCAUGACAGGGCGGAUACUCCUGCAGAGACAGUGGUACAGUUCCACUGGUGCUGGAACAGUACACAAUGAGCAUUGUGCAUAAUGGUUUGUUUUUGUUCUUUGAGUUCCUUAUCUGGACAUAGUGCUGUGUCGGGAUGCGCAUGUGUCUUUGAGGAACAUCACUCUGACGUUCCAGUGAUUGUGUAGUUCAUUUUGUGUUAUCUUUUUUCUUCCCCAUGCUCAGGGACGUGUUGCAUGUGUCGAGCAUACACCAACUCGCUUGCAUUUCACUUUCAUCACAUGUUUUGAUUUGCAUCAUCAUCGCUAUCCAAGCUGAGAGGCAUGAGCAUAGAUCAAGACCCGUCAAAAAGAACUCGUUGCGAGUUAAGUUACCAUGUGUAAAUGUAAGUUAAUAACAAAGUUCUUCAGCCUGAAAUGUAACUCGCGGUUACUGAUUUACUUAAAAAAAGAACGAGUUACUUCCGAAUUACUUUGGACACAAAACCGCAGUGCACAGGUGCAGCGCGCAUGAGCAGUUGAGUUAGACCAUGAGCUGCCUGUGGAGGAGUGCAACACGCUUAGAUCGUCUUCAUGUAUGUACAGCAAUUCGAACACUUUGCAUCUUACUCCCUGUGGGUGCACAAUGGUUCAGCUUCAUUUCAAUGGCAGCGUUUCUUACUUCCUGAAUAGAAUACUCUCAUUGAUUGACGUUUCAUUCAUUCAUUCGCGUUUUAUGGCAUAAAAUGCCACGAAAGAACCGGAGAGGAAGCAAGAAAAUAUGUGGACGUGAGUGAAAAGCGAAUUAAAAGUAACUUGGAACUUAGCUUAAGUUACUUUAGCAAAGUCAUCCGGAAAAGAAACAAGCUCCUCAGAAAGUUACCACAGCACAAAAGUACCGAGUUGAGUUACAAGUUACCAAAAAAUAUGAACCUAGUUAGGAAUCGAGUUACCUCGAACUCUGGACAUGAGGGCGUGCUUCUAAAGGUAUGGUCUAGGUCUGUUGUUGGGAGUCAUUGUAAUUUGCUACCCUUGAGGAGCAUUAGGCUGUUCCACAACAAAACGUUCACGUCCGCUCUGCUCAGACUCCUCGGAAGCGGCCACGCUAGUGUGGCCUUGCAGCUUCCCCAUUUUGCGCCUCUAAAUUGAGUGGAAAAUUUUCCUGGACACGAUGGAACUGAAACUUAACGUGGGAGGCAUUCAUUCCACAUCAUAAAUUAGUAUCCAUGCACGCCUGAGGCCCUUCAACGGCGGAUCGCGAAGCUGCGCCAAAACUUGAUUUUCCUAGCGCCAACGGCUACGCCCGAACGCCUCAAGGCGCUUCCUUCACUUCCAAUCCAAAGAAUGUUCAUCAGGGUAAAAUUGUCAGUAAGAGUUUAUAGGUGCAGAAUUAUAUUUUACGCAAAUGCUGGUGGACAUCUUAUUAUGCCCUCCAUAUGCUCCUGAGUUUGGUUUGUCCUGACGAUUCGCCAGCUGGACAUUUUUCUAUGGAAACUGCAGUUAUUGGAUAAAUGAGAGUAGAACUGUACUUGCAGGAACUACCUACCAGUGGAGUAAUUUAGAAGUACAAAUUGACACCUCGUGGGAAACAGAUUAAAAAAAAAAGUACUUUGUACAUUCUG